rnacentral:lncRNA from 1 species
GGGACAUCAAAUGUCAAUAGAGUGAUUGUACCUUUUCGAUGCAACUGAACCACUGUAACUAACCGAGAACGAUCAACACCAACAAAGCACCUGCAUCUUUACAACGAUGGAAGACCUCUAGACUUAAUAUUUAGUGAGAAGAUUUAAGUUUAAGUCUCUUCUAAAUCAGCAGAUUUGACAUCUAACUGAUCAAAUUCAGGUCAG